rnacentral:rRNA from 1 species
GACGAACGCUGGCGGCGUGCUUAACACAUGCAAGUCGAACGGAAAGGCCCUGCUUUUGUGGGGUGCUCGAGUGGCGAACGGGUGAGUAACACGUGAGUAACCUGCCCUUGACUUUGGGAUAACUUCAGGAAACUGGGGCUAAUACCGGAUAGGAGCUCCUGCUGCAUGGUGGGGGUUGGAAAGUUUCGGCGGUUGGGGAUGGACUCGCGGCUUAUCAGCUUGUUGGUGGGGUAGUGGCUUACCAAGGCUUUGACGGGUAGCCGGCCUGAGAGGGUGACCGGCCACAUUGGGACUGAGAUACGGCCCAGACUCCUACGGGAGGCAGCAGUGGGGAAUAUUGCACAAUGGGCGGAAGCCUGAUGCAGCAACGCCGCGUGCGGGAUGACGGCCUUCGGGUUGUAAACCGCUUUCGCCUGUGACGAAGCGUGAGUGACGGUAAUGGGUAAAGAAGCACCGGCUAACUACGUGCCAGCAGCCGCGGUGAUACGUAGGGUGCGAGCGUUGUCCGGAUUUAUUGGGCGUAAAGGGCUCGUAGGUGGUUGAUCGCGUCGGAAGUGUAAUCUUGGGGCUUAACCCUGAGCGUGCUUUCGAUACGGGUUGACUUGAGGAAGGUAGGGGAGAAUGGAAUUCCUGGUGGAGCGGUGGAAUGCGCAGAUAUCAGGAGGAACACCAGUGGCGAAGGCGGUUCUCUGGGCCUUUCCUGACGCUGAGGAGCGAAAGCGUGGGGAGCGAACAGGCUUAGAUACCCUGGUAGUCCACGCUGUAAACGGUGGGUACUAGGUGUGGGGUCCAUUCCACGGGUUCCGUGCCGUAGCUAACGCUUUAAGUACCCCGCCUGGGGAGUACGGCCGCAAGGCUAAAACUCAAAGGAAUUGACGGGGCCCCGCACAAGCGGCGGAGCAUGCGGAUUAAUUCGAUGCAACGCGUAGAACCUUACCUGGGUUUGACAUGGAUCGGGAGCGCUCAGAGAUGGGUGUGCCUCUUUUGGGGUCGGUUCACAGGUGGUGCAUGGCUGUCGUCAGCUCGUGUCGUGAGAUGUUGGGUUAAGUCCCGCAACGAGCGCAACCCUUGUUCACUGUUGCCAGCACGUUAUGGUGGGGACUCAGUGGAGACCGCCGGGGUCAACUCGGAGGAAGGUGGGGAUGGCGUCAAGUCAUCAUGCCCCUUAUGUCCAGGGCUUCACGCAUGCUACAAUGGCUGGUACAGAGAGUGGCGAGCCUGUGAGGGUGAGCGAAUCUCGGAAAGCCGGUCUCAGUUCGGAUUGGGGUCUGCAACUCGACCUCAUGAAGUCGGAGUCGCUAGUAAUCGCAGAUCAGCAACGCUGCGGUGAAUACGUUCCCGGGGCU